rnacentral:lncRNA from 1 species
UGAGGCUUUGAUGAGAUCCCACAGAGGGACUUUAUUUAUGUAUAUGUUCAGAGUAUGCACAGGUUGAGUUGGUGAUUGACUGCAUGUAUAAAAAGAAAAGUUUUAAUUUUUUUAUGUAUGAUGUUGAUCAUGUAUGGGAUUAAGCAGGUUUACAGGUAUAUGUUAGGCUUGCUACGGGUCCCGGCGGCCUUAUGCCGAUCUGGAUCCUAGCGCCAGUAGCGGUCCGGAUUUCCG